GACUCGGUGGUGAAUGGUAUCAGAUCCACCUCUCAUGCGUUGGAGACGACCACAACACUUACUGGUGGAAGUUGCCCGUUCAAUCCGGGCCCGAGUCA